rnacentral:tRNA from 1 species
ANCUGUGACACGAGGAUUUUCAGUCCUCUGCUCUACCAGCUGAG